AUUGAACGCUGGCGGCAGGCUUAACACAUGCAAGUCGAGCGGGGGAAGGUAGCUUGCUACUGGACCUAGCGGCGGACGGGUGAGUAAUGCUUAGGAAUCUGCCUAUUAGUGGGGGACAACAUCUCGAAAGGGAUGCUAAUACCGCAUACGUCCUACGGGAGAAAGCAGGGGAUCUUCGGACCUUGCGCUAAUAGAUGAGCCUAAGUCGGAUUAGCUAGUUGGUGGGGUAAAGGCCUACCGAGGCGACGAUCUGUAGCGGGUCUGAGAGGAUGAUCCGCCACGCUGGGACUGAGACACGGCCCAGACUCCUACGGGAGGCAGCAGUGGGGAAUAUUGGACAAUGGGGGGAACCCUGAUCCAGCCAUGCCGCGUGUGUGAAGAAGGCCUAUGGUUGUAAAGCACUUUAAGCGAGGAGGAGGCUACUUUAGUUAAUACCUAGAGAUAGUGGACGUUACUCGCAGAAUAAGCACCGGCUAACUCUGUGCCAGCCGCCGCGGUAA
rnacentral:rRNA from 1 species